CGUCAUCACAUCGCCGUAAGAAAGAGAACCGUUCCUGAUAUCAGAGUGGGAGGUAGGGUAACAGAGCCACUGCUAAUACGUGAGAGGGGCAGAAUAUGUGUGAUCGCCUUAUAAGUGUGCGUUAGUGACAAGAGACCACACACACAUAUCUGAAGCACUCACCCACACCCACCAAAUAUACCUUGAUGCCAAUUACUGUUGUUGGACUAAGAUCUGUGACCCAACUUGGAAUACAGAAAGUAAAAGGGAUCCUGCCUCAUGUCUUCCUUCUUCCACCUGCUGCCCCACAUCUGGUCCUGAACUGAAUCCAAUCGAAGUAGUGUUCUGACCGACACUCCAGGUUGAGAGCAGUGACAAACCUGAACAGUGCCUUUAAACCGUCCUACAAAUUAAGAGCAGCCUCAGCUACAUAAUUAUAUUUAUAUGAAUAGUGGAACAAUAAACUGAUCUGAGUCUGAA